rnacentral:rRNA from 1 species
GGAUUAGGCAUGCAAGUCGAACGGUAUCAUACCUUCGGGUAUGAGAGAGUGGCGAACGGGUGAGUAACACGUAGGUGAUCUACCCUCGAAUCGGGGACAACCCAGGGAAACUUGGGCUAAUACCGGAUGCGCGUAUCCUUAGGGAUGCGUAAAAGAUGGCAGUAAUGCUGUCGUUUGGGGAUGAGCCUGCGCCCUAUUAGUUAGUUGGUGAGGUAACGGCUUACCAAGGCGAUGAUAGGUAGGCGGCCUUAACGGGUGGUCGCCCACACUGGGAUUGAGAUACGGCCCAGACUCCUACGGGAGGCAGCAGUCGAGAAUAGUCUACAAUGGUCGAAAGACUGAUAGUGCGACGCCGCGUGAACGAAGAAGCCCUUCGGGGUGUAAAGUUCUUUUAUAUAUGAGCAGUGCCCCUUAUAUGAACAGUAUGGGGGGAGAGAUAUUAGUAUAUGAAUAAGCAACGGCUAACUCCGUGCCAGCAGCCGCGGUAACACGGGGGUUGCGAGCGUUGUCCGGAAUUACUAGGCGUAAAGGGCAGGUAGGCGGAUCUAUAAGUUUUUUGUUUAAGGCCACGGGCUCACCCGUUGUACGGCAGGAGAUACUGUAGAUCUGGAAUACGGUUGGGGGAAGACAGAAUUCCUGGUGUAACGGUGGGAUGCGCAAAGAUCAGGAGGAAUACCGAAGGCGAAAGCAGUCUUCUAAGCCGUGAAUGACGCUAAACUGCAAAGGGUGUGGGUAUCAAACAGGAUUAGAUACCCUGGUAGUCCACACAGUAAACGAUAAUCACUAGGUGUCGGGUUCGUAGAGGAUUCGGUGCCGUAGCUAACGCGAUAAGUGAUUCGCCUGGGGAGUACGAUCGCAAGGUUGAAACUCAAAGGAAUUGACGGGGGCCCGCACAAGCGGUGGAGCAUGUGGUUUAAUUCGAAGCAACGCGAAGAACCUUACCCGGUCUUGACAUCCAUAGGAUCCUUCAGAGAUGAGGGAGUGCCGGCUUGCCGGAACUAUGAGACAGGUGCUGCAUGGCUGUCGUCAGCUCGUGUCGUGAGAUGUUGGGUUAAGUCCCGCAACGAGCGCAACCCCUGCUUCCAGUUACCAUCAUUAAGUUGGGGACUCUGGAAGGACCGCUGCGGUAACAACGCAGAGGAAGAUGGGGACGACGUCAAGUCAUCAUGGUCCUUAUGGCCGGGGCUACACACGUGCUACAAUGGCAGUUACAGAGGGAAGCGAAGCAGCAAUGUGGAGCGAAUCUCAGAAAAGCUGCCUCAGUUCGGAUUGAGGUCUGCAACUCGACCUCAUGAAGUUGGAAUCGCUAGUAAUCGCGUAACAUCAUGACGCGGUGAAUACGUUCCCGGGCCUUGUAGACACCGCCCG